GUGGGGAAUAUUGGACAAUGGGCGAAAGCCUGAUCCAGCAAUGCCGCGUGAGUGAUGAAGGCCUUAGGGUUGUAAAGCUCUUUUACCAGGGAUGAUAAUGACAGUACCUGGAGAAUAAGCUCCGGCUAACUCCGUGCCAGCAGCCGCGGUAAUACGGAGGGAGCUAGCGUUGUUCGGAAUUACUGGGCGUAAAGCGCGCGUAGGCGGUUUAUCAAGUCAGGGGUGAAAUCCCGGGGCUCAACCCCGGAACUGCCCUUGAAACUGGUUCACUAGAAUCCUGGAGAGGCGAGUGGAAUUCCGAGUGUAGAGGUGAAAUUCGUAGAUAUUCGGAAGAACACCAGUGGCGAAGGCGACUCGCUGGACAGGUAUUGACGCUGAGGUGCGAAAGCGUGGGGAGCAAACAGGAUUAGAAACCCGGGUAGUCC
rnacentral:rRNA from 1 species